rnacentral:rRNA from 1 species
CCUACGGGAGGCAGCAGUAGGGAAUCUUCCACAAUGGGCGAAAGCCUGAUGGAGCAACGCCGCGUGGGUGAAGAAGGUCUUCGGAUCGUAAAACCCUGUUGUUAGAGAAGAAAGUGCGUGAGAGUAACUGUUCACGUUUCGACGGUAUCUAACCAGAAAGCCACGGCUAACUACGUGCCAGCAGCCGCGGUAAUACGUAGGGGGCAAGCGUUAUCCGGAUUUAUUGGGCGUAAAGGGAACGCAGGCGGUCUUUUAAGUCUGAUGUGAAAGCCUUCGGCUUAACCGGAGUAGUGCAUGGGAAACUGGGAGACGUGAGUGCAGAAGAGGAGAGUGGAACUCCAUGUGUAGCGGUGAAAUGCGUAGAUAUAUGGAAGAACACCAGUGGCGAAAGCGGCUCUCUGGUCUGUAACUGACGCUGAGGUUCGAAAGCGUGGGUAGCAAACAGGAUUAGAUACCCUUGUAGUC